rnacentral:rRNA from 1 species
GACGAACGCUGGCGGCGUGCCUACUACAUGCAAGUCGAACGCAGUGGGGACGGUUGAGUCACCCGUGGGUAACCUCCCAUCAGAGGGGAUAACACUUGGAAACAGGUGCUAAACCGCUACUGAUGGCUGGACCCGCUGUGCAUUAUCUAGUUGGUGAGGUAACGGCUCACCAAGGCCACGAUGCAUAGCCGACAGGAGAGGGUGAUCGGCCACACGGGGACGGAGACACGGCCCAGACUCCUACGGGAGGCAGCAGUAGGGAAUCGUAGGCAAUGGACGAAAGUCUGACCGAGCAACGCCGCGUGAGUGAAGAAGGUUUUCGGAUCGUAAAACUCUGUUGUUAGAGAAGCGGUAUCUAACCAGAAAGCCACGGCUAACUACGUGCCAGCAGCCGCGGUAAUUC